rnacentral:lncRNA from 1 species
AAUUUGAAAGAUUGCAGUAAGCUUGAGAGUCUCCCAAGCAGCAUAGGUGGGUGUGAAUUCCUUAAAACUCUUCUUCUCUCUGGCUGCUCUAAACUUAAAAAUUUUCCAGAGAGUUUGCGACAACUAGAAUCUUUGGAGGAGCUUAACCUAAGUGAGACUGCCAUAACAACACCACCAUCCUUCAUUUUUCAUAUGAAAAAUCUCAAGUUUCUUUCUUUCCAAGGAUGCAAGGGACCACCAUAUAGAGUACGAUCACAUUGGCGUUUUAUUUCUACGCCCGCACCAAGACUUAGUACGAACUCUAUGACCUUGAAGCUACCUGUUAUUUUGUCUGGUUUGAGUUCUUUGAAGGAGCUGAAUUUAGAUGACUGCAACCUUAAUGAUGUGGCUAUUCCUGAUGACAUUAUCAGGUUGUCCUCAUUAGAAGCACUACGAAUUUCUGAUAACAAUUUCAGGAACUUGCCUACAACCCUUGGUGGACUUUCCAAGCUUACUACUCUAGUACUGACUGACUGCAAAAGGCUUAAAUCAUUGCCCGAGCUACCAGCAAGCCUAAAAUUAUGGUUGGAUGGUUGUGGUUCUUUGGAAGCAGUUGCAAAUUCGACUACAGCUUUCAAUUCACGGGUUACUGGAUAUAUUUGUGCUUUUAACUGCUUCAAAUUGGCAGAGGGUAACGAUGUAGUAACAAUGCUGAAGACACGGCUGAAGGUUAGUACCUUUAUUUUUUUCUAUUAUUGCUCCCAUUGAUUUAUGGUACUAGUUUCAGCAAAUGUGUCUUUGUUUGCAGCUAGUAGCAAAUGCAAGAACAGAACGUUAUAACAUUGUCAUACCGGGAAGUGAAAUCCCAAAAUGGUUUAGCAGUCAAACGGAUGACUCUUCAAAAUCUAUAAUAAAGAUGCCAUUGCCUCCCAAUUUUCUGAAUGAUACACAGUUCUUAGGCUUCGCUUUCAGCUGUGUUUUCUUCUCUGACUUCAAUAAUAAACCUCGAAGGGGGGAUCAUAUUUCGUAUGCAUUUGUUAUCCAUGGUAGAAAUUUCUCCGGAGAAUUUCAAACAGUCUAUUUCCAUUUAGAAGGUAAAUCUACGAGAGUGACCAAAGACCACCUUUGGAUACAUUAUUUGCCUCGUAACUACAUAGAUUUGUUGUCCCUGGUGGAAUUAGAAUGCAAAGAAACUGAGGUUUCUGGAUCCAGCACAGAUAUGUUGAAGGAAAGAUUUGAAAUUGAGGUUCCAUUCGAAAUCUGGGGCAUCAAUUCCAUGGUGAAGAAAUGCGGGGCUCGAAUAGUGUAUGAGGAAGAUUUGGAAGAGAUGGACCAAACCAUACAUGAACAUAGCGGGUCAACUUCUUCAAAUUUUGAUGAUAUGCAUUCAAACAGUGGAUCAAACGGGAAUAAUAAUGGCGCUCUUGUCAAGAGAAAAUGGUUAAGCCUUCACUUAUUUACAGUGAUUGAUAUAUGCUGUUAACUCCUGUUUUAUAAGGCUAAUUUACUUCAUAUCUUCGUGCUUUUCCAGGUUGAAUGCGAAAGCAGGUGAUCAGCGGAACACAACUCUAUUUUGUCGAUUCUGUCAAUCAUAUGUUGUAAACCAUCGGCUACUCUCCUAGCUUUAUAUUGUUUUAUCCAUUUUCUUUCAUAUGGAUUUAUCUUUUCGUACAACUUGUGUUUCAGUUUUGUUAUAGACGGAAAAUACAAUUGGUUAAAAUCAUUUAAUUAGCUAAUUCAGUAGAGUUUUCUCUAUCGGCUUUGUUAUCGAAUUUUUCUGAACUUACUGACUAGUCAUUGAAAUAAAGAGAAAGCAGAGUGAAUUUAGCAAAGUGAGGAAGAAAAAACUAAGUUCGUUUUCUAAACGACUUGUGGUCCCAUACAUAAAAUUCUUGUUAAAUGUUGAUAUAUUAUCUUAAUUGCUCAGUUAAUAUUAAACAAAUUUAUAUAUAGUUUAAUAAUUUUAGUUAGAAUAUAAUUUUUCGAUAUAAACAUUAAUUCUUUUUUCUAUUUAGGUUACUUAAUAAAUUUUAUUAUUUUUGAAUAAUGAAAUAAACUUCAAAGUUAAUCGGGACUAUUCUAUAUUGGGUUUAAUUAAUAAUAGAAAUUUUAAAACAUUGGAUAAUAGCAUAGUCAUUCUAUCCUUGGAUAACAUUUUGAAAUGUGCGUUCAAGAAGAAAUUGAAGCGUAAUCAUUUCCUUCUUUUGAGUAACCAUUGUAUUCUAGGGACAACAUUUUCAGACCAGUUGUGCCACAGUAAAGAAACUAAAUUAAGAAAGCUUCUUGGAAGUGUCUUGCCUAUAGCCUUUCUCAUUACUUAUUCUUUUAGCAUUAUUCUACUUGGUUGUAUUAGUCCAUCCCAAAACCACUAUAUACAACAAUUUUAGGAUACAUAUACUUCAUGAAAAAUGAAGAGUCUAAGGUAACAUAGAUUGAGAAGUGUAUAGAACCACAGUUUCAAGGUACAAAACAGAAAAUUUGGAAUUAAAGUUUAAUUAGGAGCCAACAAAUUUUUACAUUGCAAGCUAGAGAUUUAUAGUUUGAAUCUCAUUGUUAGAUUAAGCCUUUCAUGUUCUUGACAGAUUGGUCAAGUUUGCAAGAUGAGUUUCUAUUUCUUAAAAGUUUUUAUUUUUAUAAUUGUCACGCUCUUAUGAUCACCCACCCGAAGACCAAAUAAGGUUCGGGUCUCCUACCUGAGACCUGAAUAGGGCUCACUAGAUGGAUGCGGGCAAGCCUCACAGUAUGAAGCUCACAAGAGGUGUUCGCAAGAGGAGCUCAAGGAUCUUGCUCACUCAUGAUAGGGGGUGUUCACAAGGGGAGCUCGCGAUCUCAACUUGCAUAUGCCUAAGGAGUGUCAAGCAGGCAACCCAAAACAAUACACGUUUCCAGCAUGCAUAGAGUUCGCUAGGAACGUCAAUUCUAUGAAAAGAAGCUAUGUAUAUAAAUAUUCUAUUGUCCCCUCUAGUGAGACAUAAUGAAAAUUUACUUAACAAUUGGUGCGGUGAGCGUGGACAAAUUUCCAACUGACAGAUUUCUAUCAAGUUUGAGAAAAAUUACCAGAAGUGAAGAUGGUUCACCCAAAUAAGAAUUUCCCUUUCAAUCUUUCGUUGAGACAGUUUAGAGCCUCGAGUUCUAGUAGUUAACCUAACGAAGCAAAUUUGUUUGCCGAUCAACCAGAGAACUAAGGAUUGUUUCACUCUAAAGGAUGUAAUCGAAGAACCAAUGAGAAAUAAGGAGCUUUCCUAGUUUGUUGAUCAAGGUGUUUCCCAACAAGGUCAGACUUUACAUGGUGAUCCCAAGGGUAAACAGAAGGUUAAAGGUAUCAUCCAUGUAAUUGUAGGAAUAGAUGAAAAGUGAGUAGGUUCUAGUGCAAAAAAGAAUGUACAGAUGAGAAGUGUGAUGUCUAUUAGCACCCCUAAAAUGUCAUGUCAACAGGGAAGAUAGAGCGUUAAAUUUGGUAAUGAUGAUGAGGAGUUGGUAUGUGACGAAGAGGGUAAUGAUCUAAUGGUUAUAUCUAUAACAAUAGUAGCUUUUAAGUUUAAAAGGAUACUUGUAGACAGUGGUAGUGUAGUAGAAGUGUUAUCUUGGGAAGCGUAUCAGAAGACAUGGCUAAAGGAGCAAGCAUUGUCUAAAGCUAGCCUACUGUAUGGUUUUGCAAACUAUCCUGUUGAGGUGAAAGGCUUGACCACUUUAUCGGUCACCUUGAGGGAUAACGAGCAUACAACUACGGAGUAUGUCUAGUUCUUUGUUGUAGACCAUCCCAUGAAAGACAAUGCUAUCUUUGGGCUACCAAUAAUGACGAUGAAAAAAUUGGUUACUACAACGUUUUACAUGAAGAUUUAGUUCCCAACAAGGAUGGUGGUUGGGUUUUUGCGAUUGGAUCAGUGAAUUACGAGGUAAUACCAUAUGUUGUUGGUUAAGCAAUUCCAAGAGCCAGUAGUUAGAGGACAGAGUUCGCAGGGUGUAGAGUUACAAAGUUAAGUCUUGGACUUGAAUAACGUGGAUGUGAGGGAUGAAGAAAUAAAUAAAAAGCAGCAGAGCAUACUGGGACUUUACAACUAUUCUGUGACAAUGAGGAAAGAAUUGUAAAGAUUUCAUCAGCGUUGGUAACAGAAGACAAUAGCAUAUUGAUUCGGUGUCUGAAGGAAAACUCAGACGUUUUUGCUUGGUUAGCGGCAGACAUGCCAUGGGUAGAUGGAUACAAUUGGUGCAGUGAGCAUGGACAAAUUUCCAACCGACAGAUUUCUUUCAAGUUUGAGAAAAAUUACCAGAAGUGAAGAUGGUUCACCCAAAUAAGAAUUUCCCUUUCAAUCUUUUGUCGAGACAGGUUGGAGCCUCGUGUUCUAGUAGUUAACCUAAUGAAGCAAAUUUGUUUGCCGAUCAACCGGAAAACUUUGACAAUGCGGCCUAUCAGGGAGUUUUCGGUCCAUUGGGCUUGAACAUAUCCACUAGUUGUGGGUUGCCACUCCCUCCCAACUAAUAAGCAUUGUCACAAUAGUUCCUUGCUCUCCAGGAGUAGAUGAAGUUAAUGAAAGAUCAAAUGGUUGCACAAGAGGAAUGGUUUGAGCAAUAAUAGACUUUUCAGCAAAAGUUAUUGAAAUAGAAUAAAGAGUUAAGAAGGAAGGUAAGCUCUGACACUUCUAAUUUUCGUGACAAUUUGAGUGCACAAGACAAAGCUUCAGGUAUGCAUGCAAGAUAAUAGCAAAACGAAAUGGAUGAGUUGCAAAGAGACGUGAGAACGUUGCACCCUAAGUCUCAAGACAUGGAUUGACACCAUUUAAUGUAAUACAAUUAUUAUAGCUGAGAGCAUUGGAUUAAAAAAAGUGUAAAGCAUUUUCCACGACACUAAAAGGGAGUGCGGAAGAUUGGUACUUGUCCCUUUCUCAAGGCUCUGUUCAAAGUUUUUCUCAAUUGGGUCAGAUCUUCUUGGAAAGAUUUAGGCUCCACAAGGCAACCAUAAGUAUGCCUAGGGGUUAAUGCCAAUGAAACAGAGGCAAGGAGAGUCUCUCCAAGAUUAUGUGAAGCGGUUUCAUGCAACGAAUUUGAACACGAAGAACUUGGAGGAUCAGUGGGCUAUCGAUGUUUUCAUCAUGGAGGUACAAAAUGAUCAUGUACAAUACUCUUUUAUCUAUAACAGGCCAUGAAGUUUGGCAAGUCUGUACCAGUGAGCCUACAAGUUCGUAAAGGCGGAGGAGAUUAAAAGGGUAUCACAUAGUAUUGUUCAGAGGGAAGACAAGCAGUUUAGAAACUGAGAGGCAACUCGCAGCAAACAAGGCCCUCCUAACCAGUCAUUGCGAGCAAGAGGUGAUAGCUGGUAGAGAAAUCAGAUGCAAGGUGAUUCUCCUAGGGCUCUCCAGAGGUCUCAACUAGAGCAUACUAGGAAGUACAUUCCCUAAGGUGUGUUUAAAGUUUACACUUAUUUGAAUGCUACCCAUUCUUACAUUCUGAACCAAGUAAAAAGUCUUGGUAUCCUGCCCAAGCCAUCCUGCCCAAGCCAUCUCUAAUGAGGCAUAGUACAAGGAGGUUCAACUAGAGAGAUAGGUGUGCCUUCCACAAUGAUGUUAGACACAAAACUAAGGAUUGUUUCACUCUAAAGGAUGUAAUCGAAGAACCAAUGAGAAACAAGGAGCUUUCCUAGUUUGUUGAUCAAGGUGCUUCCCAACAAAGUCAGACUUUACAUGAUCUCAAGGGUAAACAGAAGGUUAAAGGUAUCAUCCAUGUAAUUGUAGGAAUAGAUGAAAAGUGAGUAGGUCUAGUGCAAAAAAGAAUGUGCAGAUGAGAAGUGUGAUGUCUAUUAGCACCCCUAAAAUGUCAAGUCAACAGGGAAGAUAGAGCGUUAAAUUUGGUAAUGAUGAUGAGGAGUUGGUAUGUGACGAAGAGGGUAAUGAUCUAAUGGUUAUGUCUAUAACAAUAGUAGCUUUUAAGUUUAAAAGGAUACUUGUAGACAGUGGUAGUGUAGUAGAAGUGUUAUCUUGGGAAGCGUAUCAGAAGACAGGGCUAAAGGAGAAAGCAUUGUCCAAAGCUAGCCCACUGUAUGGUUCUGCAAACUAUCCUGUUGAGGUGAAAGGCUCGACCACUUUACCGGUCACCUUGAGGGAUAACGAGCAUACAACUACGGAGUAUGUCUAGUUCUUUGUUGUAGACCAUCCCAUGAAAGACAAUGCUAUCUUUGGGCUACCAAUAAUGACGAUGAAAAAAUUGGUUACCACAACGUUUUACAUGAAGAUUAAGUUCCCAACAAGGAUGGUGGUUGGGUUUUUGCGAUAUGAUCAGUGAAUUACGAGGUAAUACCAUAUGUUGUUGGUUAAGAAAUUCCAAGAGCCAGUAGUUAAAGGGCAGAGUUGCAGGGUGUAGAGUCACCAAGUCAAGUCUUGGACUUGAAUAACAUGGAUGUGAGGGAUGAAGAAAGAAGUAAGAAGCAGCAGAGCAUACUGAGACUUUACAACUAUUCUGUGACAAUGAGGAAAGAAUUAUAAAGAUUUCAUCAGCGUUGGUAACAGAAGACAAUAGCAUAUUGAUUCGGUGUAUGAAGGAAAACUCAGACGUUUUUGCUUGGUUAGCGGUAGACAUGCCAGGGGUAGAUGGAUACAAUUGGUGCGGUGAGCGUGGACAAAUUUCCAACCGACAGAUUUCUUUCAAGUUUGAGAAAAAUUACCAGAAGUGAAGAUGGUUCACCCAAAUAAGAAUUUCCCUUUCAAUCUUUCGUCGAGACAGGUUGGAGCCUCGAGUUCUAGUAGUUAACCUAAUGAAGCAGAUUUAUUUGCCGAUCAACCGAAGAACUUUGACAAUGCGGCCUAUCAAAGAGUUUCCGGUCCAUUGGGCUUGAACAUAUCCACUGGUUGUGGGUUGCCACUCCCUCCCAACUAAUAAGCAUUGUCACAAUAGUUCCUUGCUCUCCAGGAGUAGAUGAAGUUAAUGAAAGAUCAAAUGGUUGCGCAAGAGGAAUGGUUCGAGCAACAAUAGACUUUUCAGCAAGAGUUAUUGAAAUAGAAUAAAGAGUUAAGAAGAAAGGUAAGCUCUGACACUUCUAAUUUUUAUGACAAUGUGAGUGCACAGGACAAAGCUUCAGGUAUGCAUGGAAGAGAAUAGCGAAACGAGAUGGAUGAGUUGCAACAGGACGUGAGAACGUUAUAACAAUCCAUUGGCCCCUGAGAUAGCAACAGUGAACUUGUCGUGCGAUUUUAAAGUCCCAAAGGACAUGUUUGAGAGGAGAAAAGACCUGCGAGCCCGUUUAAGGCAAUACAAUUAUUAUAGCUGAGAGCAUUGGAUUCGGAAAAGUGCAAAGCUUUUUUCACGACACUGAAAGAGAGUGCGAAAGAUUGGUACUUUUCCUUUUCUCAAGACUCAGUUCAAAGUUUUUCUCAAUUAGGCCAGAUGUUCUUGGCAAGAUUCAGGCUCCACAAGGCAACCAUGAGCAUGCCUACGGGGUUAAUGUCAAUGAAACAGAGGGAAUAGAGUCUCUCCAAAAUUAUGUGAAGCGAUUUCAUGCGACAAAUUUAAACAUGACGAAUUUGAAAGAUCAGUAGGCUAUCGAUGCUUUUAUCAUGGGGGCAGAAAAUGAUCAUGUACAAUACUCCUUUACCAAUAACAGGCCAUGGAGUUUGGCAGAUCUUUACGAGCGAGCCUACAAGUUCGUAGAGGCAGAGGAGAUUAAAAGGGUAUAGCAUAGCACUGUUCAGAUGGAAGACAAUUAGUUUAGAAACUGAGAGGCAACUCGCAGUAAACAAGGCCCUCCUAACCAGUCAUUACGAGCAAGAGGUGAUAGCUAGCAAAGAAAUCAGAUGCAAUGUGAUUCUCUUAGGGCUCUCUAGAGGUUUCAACUGGAGCAUACUAGGAAGUACAUUCCCUAAGGUGUGUUUGAAGUUUACACUCAUUUUAAUGCUACCCAUUCUUACAUUCUGAACCAGGUAAAAUGUCUUGGUAUCCUGCCCAAGCCAUCUCCAAUGAGGUAUAGUACAAUGAGGUCCAACUCGAGAGAUAGAUGUGCCUUCUACAAUGAUGUUAGACACUAAAAUAAGGAUUGUUUCACCCUAAAGGAUGCAGUUGAAGAAGCAGUGAAAAACGGCGAGCUUGCCAAGUUUGUUGAUCAAGGUGUUUCUCAGUAAGGUCAGACUUCAUAUGGUGAUCCCAAGGGUAAACAGAAGGUUAAAGGUACCAUCCAUGUAAUUAUAGGAAUAGAUAAAAAGUGGGUAGGUUUUAGUGCAAAAAAGAAUGCGCAGAUGAGAAGUGUGAUGUCUAUUAGCACCCCUAAAAGGUCAUAUUAGCAGGGAGAAUAAAUCGUUGAAUUUAGUAAUGAUGAUGAGGAGUUGGUAUUUGACGAAGAGGGUAAUGAUCUUAUGGUUGUGUCUACAACAAUAAUAGGUUUUAAGUUUCAAAGGAUACUUGUAGACAGUAGUAGUGUAAUAGAAGUGUUAUCUUGGGAAGCAUAUCAGAAGAUGGGGCUAAAGGAGCAAGCAUCGUCCAAAUCUAGCCCACUGUAUGGUUUUGCAAAGCAUCCUACUGAGGUAAAAGGCUCGACCACUUUACCUGUCAACUUGGGGAUGACAAGCACACAACUACGGAGCAUGUCUAGUUCUUUGUUCUAGACCAUCCCAUAGAGUACAAUGCUAUCUUUGGGCGACCAAUAAUUAAACUCUUUAAUUAACUCCAGGACUAGCCUUCAUACUUGAUCAACUUAGGAUCCCCUGUCUCCCAUUCACCUUUGAGUUGAUAGAUUACUAAUGUAAAAUCCCCAUAUACCUCUAGUAUUUUGAUAUUGAAUUCUAUAGCUACACGGAUACCCAUGAUGCAUGCCUUGUAUUCUUCCAUAUUGUUCGUGCAAUUAAAAUCCAAUUUACUAGUAAAGGGAUAGUGAUCUUCGUUUAGGGAUACUAAGACAGCCCCGAUUCCGUUACCCAUAGUGUUGGAGGCCCCAUCAAAGUUUAGUUUCCAGGGAUGUUCUUUUUGAGCACCUUCUUUAGUAGUCGCAACAUACAUCAAAUUUUUAUUUGAGAAAUCAAAAUUCAAAGGCUCAUAAUCUUUUAGAGCUCUACUGGCUAGAAAAUCUGCUAUUGAACUCCCUUUUAUUGCUUUCUGGUUCACAUAGGCUAUAUCAAAUUUGGAAAAUUGAAUUUGCCAUCGAGUCAUUCUUCCAUUCAGAGCAAUCAACUCCAUCACAUACUUUAGAGGGUCCAUCAUUUAGAUUACCCAUGUUGUAUGGUACAACAUGUAUUGUCUUAGUCUCAGGGUUGUCCAGAUUAAGGUGCAAUACAACUUCUCAAUUGGCGAAUAUCUUGUCUCCCAUUCAUUAAACUUCUUACUGAGGUAAUAUAUCGCUCUUUUCUCCCUGACUCAUCAUGUUGGCCAAGUACGCAUCCCAUGGAAUUUCCAAAUAUUGCCAAGUACAAUAUUAGUGGCUUUUCUGGGUAAUGUGACAUCAGCACUAGGGAUUUAGACAAGUAAUGUUUGAUCUUGUCGAAAGUCUUCUGGAACUCCUUAUCCCGUAUGCCUGGGUUGUGUUUCAUAAGGAGAUGGAAUAUGGGGUUGCAUUUCUCAGUUAGUUGUGAAAUGAACCGGACGAUAUAAUUUAGUCUUCCUAGGAAACCUUGAACUUCUUUUUGAAUGCGCGGCAGAGGCAACUCAUAUAUAGCUUUAACUUUAGAUGGGUCGAUCUUGAUCCCUUUUUCACUAACUAUAAACCCUAGCAAUUGUCCUGCCCUAGCCCUGAAGGUACAUUUUACUGGAUUGAGAUUUAGCUGGAAUUUUCUCAACCUCAAAAAUAAUUUCCCCAAGACUUGCAUAUGCUCUUUUUCUGUUCUGGAUUUUGAGAUCAUAUCAUCGACAUAAACCUCAAUUUCUUUAUGCAUCAUAUCAUGAAACAAGGUUUCCAUGGCUCUUUGAUACGUCACUCUCACAUUUUCAGUCCGAAUGGUAUCACUUUAUAGCAGAAUGUUCCCCACAUAGUUACGAAUGUCGUCUUUUUCAUGUCUUCUUAUGGAUGUAUCUUUAUCUAGUUGUAACUGGAAAAGCCAUUCAUGAAGAAGAACAGUGAGUAACCUGCCGUGUUGUCCAAUAAGGUGUCAAUGUGAGGCAAUAAGAAAUUAUCUUUUGGGUUGGCCUUAUUUAAAUCCCUAUAGUCUACACACAUUCAUACUUUCCCAUCUUUCUUAGGAACGGGGACAAUAUUAGCUAACCAUUAUGAGUAUUUAAUCACUUUUAGGAAACCAACGUCGAAUUACUUCUUAACCUCUUCUUUUAUUUUCAGCAAGAUGCCGAGCCUCAUCCUUCUGAGCUUCUGUUAAACUGGCUUGCACUCUUCCUUUAUGGGGAGUCGGUGUACCACGAUAUUAGUGUUUAGCCCAGGCAUAUCUUGAUAUGACCAUGCGAAGACAUAUUUGAAUUCUUGGAGCAACUCAAUGGGGUUUCACUUUGUCUUUGCGGUGAUACAAGCUCCGAUCUUCAUCUCUUUCUCUUCUCCUAAGCUCACAAUUUCUACUGAUUCUUUGUGAGGUAGGAUUUGAUUCUCAUCUUGUUCUACCAUCCUUAACAAAUUAGGAGAUAGGUUACAAUUUCGAUCAUCUUCAAAGUCUUGAAGUUCCUCUAGACACAUAUCUUACUCAAAAGGAGAUUCUGAGUCAGUAACAAUGUCGCUCAUAUCAUUGAUAUCUGGAGACCUGUUAUAUGAACGAAGAAAGACCCAAAAAACAAAUGAAUCUAAAAAUAAACAUUUGUGUGGUAUGAGUAUGAAUGAAAUGGAAGAAAUAAAAUAAUAUUUUCCAAAAUGAAACAAAAAUAUGCAUUUUAUUAAAAUAAAGCUAUUGGACAUAUGCCUAUUUCACAAAAGGAUUCUUAUUGCUCACGGGCUUUGAGCAAUAAGUGUGAUUUGAACAUUACUUUGAAUUAGUUCUAAAUAUUGCAAGGAUCUUUUUGAAUCUAAUUGUUCAGAACACUUUCGAGGAUAUAAGGACAAAUGUCUGACAGGUUUUCUUCCCUAAUUCUUUAUUUGGAUUUGGUGUUGAUGCUUAGAUUUCCCAACAUUCCUUCCAGUCCUUUGACCUCUUCAAAGAAUUCCAACUCUUUGUUAUCCAUUAGACUUUGUACCAAAGCUUUGAAUUCAACUCACUCUUGGAUUCCAUGACCUUCUUUAGCGGGGAACUCGCAGUAGCUCCUCACUUCUUUAGGUUUCUCCUCUGAAUCUUGCAUGAUUAUCCUCCGUCUAUCAUCUUUUUCCAAACUCAUUUUAGUGAGAUUUUUACUUCCACCACAUCAAUUUUGGUUCUCUUUCCUCCACUUUCAAUUAUCGCGUUCACCCCUUAAUCUGAAUGACUGAGUAACAGAUUUCCUACCACAUUAGGUCCUGAUAGAUCAUCGAACCUAACGAUCCCCAUCUUGAUGAACCUCUUAAUCAACUUUUUAAAUGCAGUACAGUUCUUAAUUAAGUGUCCCGUUAUUCCUGCUUGGUACUCACGUUAAACAUUCACAUCGUACCAUUUUGGGAAUGUAAGUUGCAUGGGUUUUAAGUAAAAGAGGGAUACCACAUGCGCAUUGAUCAUAUUCUGACAUAACUCCUUAUAUGUCAUCAGGAUAGGUGUGAACUGGAGUUUUUUGUGUUUGGUAUUGAGUUAGAUUCUUGCCUUGAGUGGCCUUGAUGGCUGGUUGUUACGGUCUUUGGUUGGACUACAGUGACCGUCUUGAAUAACCUUUAUUAUACACGCUCGCGUUACUCACUUCAUUUUCCUUAUUCCUCGGGGUUGAUCUUUUGGCGUUUUUCCCCGCAUCUAUUUUCUCACUCCUUACUACAUUUUCAAUCAUCUCACUAGACAUUACUAUAUCUGAUAUACUCUAUGUAGUGCUUCCCAACAUAUGGUUAAUGAACAGGGCUUUCAAAGUAUUUAUGAAAAGUAUUAUUGUCUCUUUCUCCAAAAGAGGAAGUUGGACUACGUUGCCACCUCUCUCCAUCUUUGAGCGUAAUACCUGAAGCUUUCACUCUGCUUCUUUUCCAUGUUUUGCAAUGUAAUCUUGUCAGGCGUCAUGUCAGUCACAUGAAUGUAUUGUUUCAUUAAAGUCUGUGCCAAAUUUUUCCAUGCGCUUAUUUUGGCACCAUUUAGCUGGUUGUACCACUUGGCAAUCGACCCAACCAAACUCUCUUAGAAGUAGUAAAUUAAAAAUUGGUCAUUAUUGACGUAUCCCGUGAUUCUUUGGUAGAACACUAUGAUGUGGGCUUCAAGACAACUAAUCUCAUUAUAUUUUUUGAAUUCUUGAGUCUUGAAUUUUAGUGGGAGUACUAGAUCCGGGACUAAACAUAAAUCCUUAGCAUCAACCCCGCAAAGGUAGUCAGCAUUCUCUAUAGCACUAAAUUUCUCCUUCAACCACUUGCAUUGAUCUUCUACUUGUUUUGUCAAUUCUACUCUUGCUCUAUCCAUUUUAGCCAUGUCAUCCAAAUCAAAAAAACUGGGUUGGUCAGAUUAUCCUCGGGAUUGGAAUCUGAACCUGUUAGGUAGUUCACCGGUGCUGAGGUACCGACUUAAUAUUGUUAAGGUAUUAUGGUAACGGGUACACCUCGUGGAUAUGUUUCUGGUUGGGCUUGGACAUUUACUGGGGUAAAGCCUAGGGGAUAUGUAGGGGAAAAGAAAGAAAUAGCCAAACAAAAUCAAAUGAAAAUCGAGAAAAUAAAGUUGAAUGUGUCAAAUCUCAGCAAAGUUUUGAAGUUGUAAAUAUCAAAGCGCUUGGAGACUAUUGAAGAUUGUACACUUUGACAUAGUAGGUCAUUUUGAUAUACCAUCAGUUGGAGGAAACAUGUAUUUUCUUACCUUUAUUGAUGAUUUUAGUAGAAAAAGUUAGAUAUAUUUUCUUAAAAUAAAAUUAGAAAUACUUAAUAAAUUCAUGGAGUUCAAAACUAUGGUGGAAAAACAAAGUGGACAUUAUAUUAAGAUAUUCAAAACUAAUAACGAGGGCAAGUAUUUAUCAAAACUGUUUAAAAGCUUUUGUAAAGAGCACAUAAUUAUUCACCAAUUGAUAAUUACAUAUACACCACAACAAAAUGUAAUUGCUGAAAGAAAGAAAUGCACUAUUCUUGAUAUGGAAAGCAGCAUGGUAAAAGGUAAACAUCUACCAAGAACUUUUUGGGCUAAAGUUGUUCAAUGUGCAGUUUACCUAUUAACCGAUGCCUAGUAGAAAGUGUGAAAUAUAAGACGCUAAAUAAAGUUUGGAGCGAUCAAAAGCCAUGAGUUGGACAUCUCAAGUUUUUUGGAUGCAUCACAUAUGCUCACAUUCCUAAUUAGACGAGAGUGAAGCUCAAUAAAAAAGGCAUGAAAUGCAUCUUUAUUGGAUAUGAAAAAAGAAGCAAAGCAUAUAAACUACACAACCCUCUCACCAAGAAAGUUAUUAUUUCAAUAAAUUUUGAGUUCAAUGAAACAAAUUACUAAAGAUGGAGCGACAAAGAAAAGUAAAUUGAAGGACUAUUUUUUAGUGAUGAUAAAGAUGAUGACUUCAUUAAUCAAGAUAAAGAAGGUGAUGAUCAAAGCCAUCCACCAAGUCAUGUUGCAACAACUCCUACAACAUCGUCAUCACCAAGUAGUAGUAGUUCAAAGGAAGUGUCUACAAGAAUGUGCAGUCUACACAACAUUUAUAAUGCUAUAGCACCCAUAGAGACAACUCUUAAUUAUUCAUUAUUUUGUUUAAUUACAAAAUGUGAUCCUAUAACAUAUGAAGAAACAAUUGAAGAUAUCAAAUGAAAUAAGGAAACGGAUGAAGAAAUUGCAACAAUAAGAAGAAAUGAUACGUGAGAGUUAACAAGUUUGCUAAAAGGAUACAACCCAGUUAAAGUUAAAUGGGUGUACAAGAAAAAGACCAACAAAUAGGGGAAAAUGGAGAGUACAAAGAAAUUCUAGUUGUCAAAGGCUACAAGUAAAGACAUUGAUACGAACUCACCUCGGUGAUGAGUCAAGUUCAUUGAGCUAGAAUCGAGCUGAUUUAAGCUCAACAAGCUAAAUUUGAGCUAGGUCAGCUUGCGAAAAAUGGCAAGCCUCGCUUGGUGAGCUGAACCAAAGGCGUUCCCGACCGUGAUCGUAUUAGACAUGAAGUGGAUUAUGAUGAAGUGUUUGCUCCAGUAGCCAAAAUCAACACUAUAAGUCUUUUCACAACAAUUACAACACAAAACAAUGGAAGAUUUAUCAAAUGGACGUGAAGUUAUCAUUCCUUAAUAACUACUUAAAAUAAGAAGUUUACAUUGAACAACCACAUGGAUGUAGAAAACAAAGACAAUAAGACAAAUAUAUCGCUUAAAGAAAGCUUUAUAUGGUUUAAAUCAAGCCCCAAGCAUGGAACACAAGAAUAGAUGAGUACUUUUAGAAGAAUGAGUUCAUGAAAAGUCUAUAUGAGCAUGCCUUAUAUACGAAGAAAAAUGGAGAUGGUGACAUCAUGAUCGCAUGUUUAUACAUAAAUGAUAUGAUUUUCACAAGAAACAGACCAGGUAUGUUCAAUGACUUUAAGAAAGCUAUGACUAAAGAAUUUGAAAUGACAGAUAUUGAUGAGAUGUCAUGUUUUCUUGGAUGCAAAGUGAAGCAAAUGGAAGAUGAAAUAUUUGUGUUUCAAAAGCAAUAUGUGGAACAAAUCUUAAGCUAAUUCUAAAUGAAAGAUUGCAAGCCAGUAGCCACACCAGUGGAACCUAGCAUGAAGUUAAGUGUUAAUUCAACUAGCGCCAAUAAAUUCAACAUUAUUUAAAAGCAUCAUUUGAAGUUUAAAGUAUCUGACUAUCGUGCAGGAAAACAUAAUGUAUGCAAUGGGAUUAAUUAGCUGAUUCAUGAAGAAGUCAGAACAAAACCAUCUAAUUAUAGCAAAAAGAAUUUUGAGAUAUGUUAAAAGCACAAUGGAUCAUUUUUUUUACACUUAAAGUUCAAAAUUAGUUGGUUAGUCAUAAAAUGAUUAUCGUGGUGACUUGGACUAUCACAAAAGCAUAUCUGGAUAUUUAUUCCAUAUUGGCUCUACAACUUUUCCAGGGUCUUCAAAAAAGCAUCAAAUAGUAGCCUUCUCAGAAUGUGAAGCAGAAUACACUGCUAUAGUAUGCCCUUGUCAAGCAAUUUGGUUGAAGAAUAUUUUGAGCGAACUAACUCUUACACAGGAAGGUUCCAUUACAAUUUAUGUUGACAACAAGUCUACAAUAUCUCUUGCAAAGAAUCUUGUGUCCCAUAGCCAAAGCAAGCUCAUUGAUACAAAGUAUCACUUUAUUUGAGAGUUGGUGAAGAAUAAAAACAUCAAGAUCUACUACAAAAUGAAAUACCAAUUGGUAAACAUUUUACGAAGCAAUUGAAAGAGGGCGUAUUUAACAAACUUAAAAGAAAAACUUGGAAUAAAGAUCUCGGUUUAAGGAGAAGUGUUAGAAGUCAAAGCGACUUCUUAAAGUUGGAAAAGCAUAAAGCUAAGAGUGGCUUUACAAAUUGGUUUAAAACGUGGCAUGAAAUUAGUGGCAAAAUAGAAACAUGAAAGCUUGCUGAAAGUUUCUUAAAGAUUGAAAUUGUGUAAUGAUAAGGAUAAACAAAGCAUUAACAGUGGAGCUUAUUGGAUAACCAUGGAUUUGCUCGAAGCUUUACAAGCUUAUUACAGCAGCCUUUAACUCUAUUUAUGUUAUGUUAUAAAUAGCCCUUAUGUUAGUGUGUGUGCAUCACAAGUGAAAGAAAUAGAAAAAAAAAAGGAAUAUUGUGUGUGCAGUAGAAAGUAGCGUGAGUUAGAGUAAAAAGAAACUAGCGGCAACUAGUAAUUGAGAAAUAUAUAUAUUUGUAAUUUGCUAUUGUUUUAUAGAUAUUGUGUGAGUAAUAAAGUUGUUUCGAUUGUAAGGGUUAACUACGCUUCCAACAUUUAUCAACUCUGCCUGUAUACAUGGCACACUGUACUCAGCAUGGUUACUAGUCAGUCUCGAUCAACAUUACUUAACAAUCCGCGGCUGUUAAGAGGAAUUACCUAUAUUUAGUAUCUUUCCACCUUCAACAUAAUAUAUUUCAAGGCUCUUUGAAUCAUAACCUGGAGACCUUUUUCGAAAAAGAAACUUCGAGAAUUUUCUGUACCUAAUAGAAUUUAAUAACACGUUAUCUACAUCCUCCUGAUCAAACUCAUUAACAAACCUAUUCACAUAACUGAAUUCUAGGGUUCCUGUAAAUUUCCCCCAUGGCAGUUCCUUUAUUUAAAUUAUCCAAAUCCAGGUAAGCUUUUUUCUUUUGGUUUCCAUCCCCAUUGUGGCUUGUCUCCUUCCUCCAUUUCUAAGUUCUAACCAUCAUCAACGUUGCUCCAAACUUUUUCAAACACUUAUCAAUUUUUCUUUUAUUUUCAGCAAGACGUCGGGCCUUAUCCUUCGGAGCUUCUAUUAAACUGGCUUGCACUCUUCCUUUAUGGGGAGCCGGUGUACCAUGAUAUUAGUGUUUAGCCCAGGCAUAUCUUGAUACGACCAUACGAAGACAUCUUUGAAUUCUUGGAGCAACUCAAUGGGGUUUCACUUUGUCUUUGCGGUGAUACAAGCUCCGAUUUUCAUAUCUUUCUCUUCUCCUAAGCUCACAAUUUCUACUGAUUCUUUGUGAGGUAGGAUUUGUUUCUCAUCUUGUUCUACCAUCAUUAACAAAUGAGGAGAUAGGUUAUAAUUUUGAUCAUCUUCAAAGUCCUGAAGUUCCUCUAGACACAUAUCUUACUCAAAAGGAGAUUCUGAGUCAGUAGCAGUGUUGCUCAUAUCAUUGAUAUCUGGAAACCUGUUAUAUGAACGAAGAAAGACCCAAAAAAUAAAUGAAUCUAAGAAUAAUCAUUUGUGUGGUAUGAGUAUGAAUUAAAUGGAAGAAAUAAAAGAAUAUUUACUAAAAUGAAACACAACUAUGCAUUUUAUUAAAAUAAGGCUAUUUGACAUAUGCCUAUUUCACAAAAGGAUUCUUAUUGCUCCCAGGCUUAGAGCAAUAAGUAUGCUUUAACAUUACUUUGAAUUAGUUUUAAAAAUUGCAGGAAUCUUUUCCGUAACUUAAUUGUUCAGAACACUUUCGAGGAUAUAAGGACAAAUGCCUGACAGGUUUUCUUCCCUAAUUCUUUAUUUGGAUAUGGUGUUGAUGCUCAGAUUUCCCAACAUUCCUUCCAGUCCUUUGACCUCUUCAAAGAAUUCCAACUCUUUGUUAUCCAUUAGACUUUGCACCAAAGCUUUGAAUUCAACUCACUCUUGGAUUCCAUGACCUUUUUUAGUGGGGAACUCGCAGUAGCUCCUCACUUCUUUAGGUUUCUCCUCUGAAUCUUGCAUGAUUAAUCCUCCGUCUAUCAUCUUUUUCCAAACUCAUUUUAGUGAGGUUUUUACUUCCACCACAUCAAUUUUGGUUCUCUUUCCUCCACUUUCAAUUAUCGCAUUUACCCCUUGAUCUGAAUGACUGGGUAACAGAUUUCCUACCACAUUAGGUCCUAAUGGAUCAUCGAACCUAACGAUCCCCGUCUUGAUGAACCUCUUAAUCAACUUUUUAAAUGCAAUACAGUUCUUAAUUAAGUGUCCCGUUAUUCCUGCUUGGUACUCACGUUAAACAUUCACAUCGUACCAUUUUGGGAAUGGAAGUUGUAUGGGUUUUAAGUAAAACAGGGAUACCACAUGCGCAUCGAACAUAUUCUGACAUAACUCUCUAUAUAUCAUCAGGAUAGGUGUGAACUGGAGUUUUUUUGUGUUUGGUCUUGAGUUAGAUUCUUGCCUUGAGGGGCCUUGAUGGAUGGUUGUUAUGGUCUUUGGUUGGACAGUGACCGGUCUUGAAUAACCUUUAUUAUACACGCUCACGUUACUCACUUCAUUUUCCUUAUUCCUCGGGGCUGAUCUUUUGGCGUUUUUCCCCGCGUCUAUUUUCUCGCUCCUUACUACAUUUUCAAUCAUCUCACUAGACAUUACUAUAUCUGAGAUACUCUUGGUAGCGCUUUCCAACAUAUGGUUAAUGAACAAGGCUUUCAAAGUAUUUAUGAAAAGAAUUAUUGUCUCUUUCUCCAGAAGAGGCGGUUGGACUAGCGUUGCCACCUCUCUUCAUAUAUGAGCGUACUACCUGUUUCACUCUGCUUCUUUUUCAUGUUUUGCAAUGUAAUCCUUUCAGGCGUCAUGUUAGUUACAUAACUGCAUUGUUUCAUUAAAGUCUGUGCCAAUUUUUUUCAUGAGCUUAUUUUGGCACCAUUUAGCUGGUUGUACCACUUAGCAACCGACCCAACCAAACUCUCUUAGAAGUGGUGAAUUAAAAAUUGUUCAUUAUUGACGUAUCCCGUGAUUCUCUGGUAGAACAUUAUGAUGUGGGCUUAAAGACAACUAAUCUCAUUAUAUUUUUUGAAUUUUUGAGUCUUGAAUUUUAGUGGGAGCACUAGAUCCGGGACUAAACUUAAAUCCUUAGCAUCAACCUCGUAAAGGUAGUCAGCAUUCUCCAUAGCACUAAAUUUCUCCUCCAACCACUUGCAUUGAUCUUCUAGCUGUUUUGGCAAUUCUACUAUUGCUCUAUCCAUUUCAGCCAUGUCAUCCAAAUCGGAAAAACUGGGAUGGUCGGAUUAUCCUCGGGAUUGGAUUCUGAACCUGUUAGGUAGUUCACCGGUGCUGAGGUACCGACUUAAUAUUGUUGAGGUAUUAUGGUAACGGGUACCCUUCGUGGAUAUGUUUCUGGUUGGGCUUGGACAUUUACUAGGGUAAAGCCUAGGGGAUAUGUAGGGGAAAAGAAAGAAACAGCCAAACAAAAUCAAAUGAAAAUCAAGAAAAUAAAAUUGAAUGUGUUAAAUCUCAACAAAGUUUUGAAGUUGUAAAAUCUCAAAGAGCUUGGAGACUACUGAAGAUUGUACACUUUGACAUAGUAGGUCAUUUUGAUAUAGCAUCAGUUGGAAGAAACAUGUAUUUUCUUACCUUUAUUGAUGAUUUUAGUAGAAAAAGUUAGAUAUAUUUUCUUAAAAUAAAAUUAGAAGUACUUAAUAAAUUCAUGGAGUUCAAAACUAUGGUGGAAAAACAAAGUGGACAUUAUAUUAAGAUAUUCAAAACUAAUAACGAGGGCAUGUAUUUAUCAAAACUGUUUAAAAGCUUUUGUAAAAAGCACAUAAUUAUUCACUAAUUAAUAGUUACGUAUACCCCACAACAAAAUGGAAUUGCUGAAAGAAAGAAAUGCACUAUUCUUGAUAUGGAAAGAAGCAUGGUAAAAGGUAAACAUCUACCAAGAACUUUUUGGGCUAAAGCUGUUCAAUGUGCAAUUUACCUAUUAAUCGAUGCCUAGUAGAAAGUGAGAAAUAUAAGACGCUGAAUAAAGUUUGGAGCGAUCAAAAGGCAUGAGUUGGACAUCUCAAGUUUUUUGGAUGCAUCACAUAUGCUCACAUUCCUAAUUAGACGAGAGUGAAGCUCAAUAAAAAAGGCAUAAAAUUCAUCUUUAUUGGAUAUGAAAAAAGAAGCAAAGCAUAUAAACUACACAACCCUCUCACCAAGAAAGUUAUUAUUUCAAUAAAUUUUGAGUCCAAUGAAACAAAUUACUAAAGAUGGAGCGAAAAAAGAAAGUAAAUUCAAUGACUAUCUUUUAGUGAUGAUAAAGAUAAUAACUUCAUCAAUCAAGAUAAAGAAGGUGAUGAUCAAAGCCAUCCACCAAGUCAUAUUGCAACAACUCCUACAACAUCGUCAUCACCAAGUAGUAGUAGUUCAAAGGAAGUGUCUACAAGAAUGUGCAGUCUACACAACAUUUAUAAUGCUAUAGAACCCAUAGACAACUCUUAAUUAUUCCUUUUUUUUGUUUAAUUACAAAAUGUGAUCCUAUAACAUAUGAAGAAACAAUUGAAGAUAUCAAAUGAAAGAAGGAAAUGGAUGAAGAAAUUGCAACAAUAAGAAGAAGUGAUACGUGACAGUUAACAAGUUUGCAAAAAGGAUACAACCUAGUUGAAGUUAAAUGGGUGUACAAGACAAAGACCAACAAAUAGGAAAAAAUAGAGAGUACAAAGAAAUUCUAGUUGUCAAAGGCUACAAGUAAAGACAUUGAUACGAACUCGCCUCCGUGAUGAGUCAAGUUCAUUGAGCUAGAAUCGAGCUGAUUUAAGCUUAACGAGUUAAAUUUGAGCUAGGUCAACUUGCGAAAAAUGGCAAGCCUCGCUUGGUGGGCUGAACCAAUGGGGUUCCCGACCGUGAUCGUAUUAGACAUGAAGUGGAUUAUGAUAAAGCCAAAAUCGAAACUAUAAGUCUUUUCACAACAAUUACAACACAAAACAAUAGAAGAUUUAUCAAAUGGACGUGAAGUUAUCAUUCCUUAAUAACUACUUAAAAUAAGAAGUUUACAUUGAACAACCACAUGGAUGUAGAAAACAAAGACAAUAAGACAAAUAUAUCGCUUAAAGAAAGAUUUAUAUGGUUUAAAUCAAGCCCCAAGCAUGGAACACAAGAAUAGAUGAGUACUUUCAGAAGAAUGAGUUCAUGAAAAGUCUAUAUGAGCAUGCCUUAUAUAUGAAGAAAAAUGGAGAUGGUGACAUCAUGAUCGCAUGUUUAUACAUAAAUGAUAUGAUUUUCACAAGAAACAGACCAGGUAUGUUCAAUGACUUUAAGAAAGCUAUGACUAAAGAAUUUGAAAUGACAGAUAUUGAUGAGAUGUCAUGUUUUCUUGGAUGCAAAGUGAAGCAAAUGGAAGAUGAAAUAUUUGUGUUUCAAAAGUAGUAUGUGGAACAAAUCUUAAGCAAAUUCUAAAUGAAAGAUUGCAAGCCAAUAGCCACGCCAAUGGAACCUAGUAUGAAGUAAAGUGUUAAUUCAACUAGCGCCAAUAAAUUCAACAUUAUUUAAAAGCCUCAUUGGAAGUUUAAAGUAUCUGACUAUCGUGCAGAAAAACAUAAUGUAUGCAAUGGGAUUAGUUAGUUGAUUCAUGAAGAAGUGUCACGGGGCUAGACCUUUGGUCUCGCAAACCGUGCGGCCUUAGACGAUCCGUUCGUCCAAACUCGCCCAAGUCAGCCUUAACUCAAGUGAGGAUUCCUUAGAAUUCCUCUAAGGCACCAAUUUGUAUAGCGGAAGCGAUUGUUCCAAAAGAAGCUAAGCCAAAUAAUAAUAGAAAGCCACAGAAAAGAAUGCACACAAGGUGUUUGAGUAAAUGCUCUCAGAACUCUUAUUACUCUUAAGAAUUCAGAAUACAAUGGAAUGAGUACAAAUGAGGGGGAGGCUCUCUAUUUAUAGUUGAGCUCCCCAAAACUGACGGUCAAGAUACAAUUACAUCGACGGACGAGAUUAACUAUAUCCCUUUAUUUUAGGGAUUUACAAGAUAAGCCUUAUCAAAUCUAAUCUAAUCUUUACAAGAUAAGAUUCCCUCUAUCUUCUAAGAUUAGUUACCAUAUCAGCCUGAAUCUCUUCGUUAUCGGGCCAACCGGGCUUCAAUCUGACAGGCUCUUCCAAUUGCUCAUUGAAUCGGGCCAGUUCUCGUGGGCCAAAUGAUCCCCAUCUGAGCAAUAGACCUCCAUUGGAUGCAUUUGGUGCGAUGGUCACGGGCUUUGAACUGCGGCCCGUGACAUUCUCCCCCACCCAUUCUCGUAACGUCCUCGUUGCGACUUCCGAAUGGCACUGACUUGGUUCGCCUCGGUCUCGUCUUGAUGCCUUAGCCUUUCCCUUCCUUUGGGACUUUUGCCUCGGCUUCCACCGCUUCUUAACUCGAACCGUCCUACUCAUUUGUACAUCUUGACGACAAGAAGCUAUGUCGCUCUCUUGCCCACAUUCUAACUUGACUCGAACAGAAUCCUCUUGAUUCAACACCCUUGGCCUCGCUUUGCCCACCGUCUCUCGGCCUCUUUGCUCAAGAACUUCGAAAGGGCCCUUACGUUCUUGCCAAGUACACAAGUUAGAAUGCAAAACACUAUCACAGUGUUCGGAAUGUACCUUACUCGCAGCAUUUACUCGUCCCGACUGUCUUUGCAUCGCUCCAUUUCCCUUGAAGCCCGAUGCACAACCCAUCUUCCCCAAAGGUGUCGGCUCCACAGUCGAAUCUGCAGGCUUCAUAUCGAACUCUUGCGCCACUAACACUUUCGAAGGAGCUUUCGUAACCACUCGUUCUAUCGAGUCGAUGUUCCUCCCAUACGAAACAUCCUCGACUAGUUGGAUUGACGACAACACCUUUGCCCCUACUUUCAUAUUUCGAUGCACCGGAACAAUAAUCUUUGUUAACGGACCGGUGAUAAUAUGGAUUUGAUCGGCCCAUGGAUACAGAACUGUUUGAAUCCUGUCAAGGAAGUUUAAGCCAAGUACAUAAUCGUAAUCAUCUAAUUCGAUUACCUCAAAGUCUUCCUUGCCCUUCCAUUUGCCGAUGUGUAGCUUCACAUUCCGAACUACACCCAUAGUCGGGGCCUCCUUGGAAUUUACUGUCUUGAUCUUCUUCUUCGAUUUCUUAAUCGGCAGACCAAGCUUCCUUGCAGCCUUUUCUGAUAUGAACAAGUCAGAUGCUCCCGUAUCAAUAAGAGCAUUCUACUUCCGACCCGCAAUGUUGAUAUCUACAAACAUCAACCCUUCUUUACCAUUCCUCUUCUCAGGAAUGAGCACCAUCGAAUUGAGCCUCGAUGGCUUUUCCUCAAUAUGCUUCGCCUCUUCCGGCUCAUCACUUCUCUUGAUAGCCAAAACUGAAGAUACCUUUGGGCAGUCCCUCUUCAUAUGCGGUCCUUUACAAAAGUAGCACCGUAACUUUCCCCUCUUUUCUUUCGGGCUAUUAGGUCUCCACUUCCCAUUUCGUGGUUUCCUAUCAUCACCAUCACUACUACUACUAUUGCCAUCAUAGCUUUGUCCAUCUUCACCCUCCUCAUGGUACCCGCCAUUGCCCUUCCUAUUGGGCUUGGAAGUUUCAAACCUGUCCCUUCUCGGAGCAAGUUCCACUAUGGACUCCGCUACCAUCAUGGCUUUGGUAAGUUCCCGAACUCCUCGACGUUAUAAUUCUUGCUUCGCCCAUGGUUUCAACCCAUCUGUAAAGGAGAAAAAUGCUUCUUUCUCGCUCAAAUCAGAGAUUUGGAGCAUGAGUUCACUGAACUCCCGCACAUACUCCCUAAUCGUGCCUCGUUGCGUUAGCCGACGCAACUUCGCUCGAGCUUCAUCCUCGGCAUACUCGGGGUAAAACUGUGCUUUAAAUUCAUCUUGGAAAUCCUUCCAAGUCCCAAUCUCAGUACCACCACGUCUUACAUCAGUGGACCUACGUCUCUACCAUAACAAAGCAACGUCAGUGAAAUACAUAGCAACAGUGUUUACCUUUGUAACAUCAUCCUCGAUGUUCAUCGCACGAAAGUAUUGCUCCAUGGCCUAAAGAAAGUUGUCCACCUCACUUGCAGACCUUGCCCCUUUAAACGCCUUCGGCUUGGGCACAUCCAUCGCUUGUGGCUUCGGCUUUGAAGCCAACAUUCCAUUCCCUAUGGCAGCCUUGAAAAUCUUGAGCUCCCCCUUAAACUCAUUAAUCUCCUCCUUCAAAGCUGUCACCAUAGCCUCGAGAGCAUCGUUCUUUUCAGCCAGCUUAUUCUCCGAGGAACCGAUAGUAUCCCACACAAAUUCCCUCAGCUGUCCUUGCAAUGUUCGCAACCCAUCAUUGUGUCUAUCAUCGACAUCGUCGAUCCUCUCCUUGACGUCCCCCACGGACUCCUCGAGAGUGACGACUCGAUCCUCCAAAGCUGAAAUUAAGUCCCUUGAUCGACUCACUUUUCUGGCCCUUCCUCGAGUCUCCAUUGGCUCAUUCUGACCAACAACUUCUUUCGACAUCCCAACAGUGCCUUCGAACCAAAAGCUCUGAUACCAACUGUCACGGGGCUAGACCUUUGGUCUCGCAAACCAUGCGGCCUUAGGCGAUCCGUUCGUCCAAACUCGCCCAAGUCAGCCUUAACUCAAGUGAGGAUUCCUUAGAAUUCCUCUAAGGCACCAAUUUGUAUAGCGGAAGCGAUUGUGCCAAAAGAAGCUAAGCCAAAGAACAAUAGAAAGCCACAGAAAAGAAUGCACACAAGGUGUUUGAGUAAAUGCUCUCAGAACUCUUAUUACUCUUAAGAAUUCAGAAUACAAUGGAAUGAGUACAAAUGAGGGGGAGGCUCUCUAUUUAUAGUUGAGCUCCCCAAAACCGACGGUCAAGAUACAAUUACAUCGACGGACGAGAUUAACUAUAUCCCUUUAUUUUAGGGAUUUACAAGAUAAGCCUUAUCAAAUCUAAUCUAAUCUUUACAAGAUAAGAUUCCCUCUAUCUUCUAAGAUUAGUUACCAUAUCAGCCUGAAUCUCUUCGUUAUCGGGCCAACUGGGCUUCAAUCUGACAGGCUCCUCCAAUUGCUCAUUGAAUCGGGCCAGUUCUCGUGGGCCAAAUGAUCCCCAUCUGAGCAAUAGACCUCCAUUGGAUGCAUUUGGUGCGAUGGUCACGGGCUUUGAACUGCGGCCCGUGACAGAAGUCAGAACAAAACCAUCUAAUUAUAGCAAAAAGAAUUUUGAGAUAUGUUAAAAGUACAAUGGAUCAUUUUUUUCACACACAAAGUUCAAAAUUGGUUGGUUAGUCAUAAAAUGAUUAUGGUGGUGACUUGGACUAUCACAAAAGCACGUCUGGAUAUUUAUUCCAUAUUGGCUCUACAACAUUUCCAGGGUCUUCAAAAAAGCAUCAAGUAGUAUCCCUCUCAGCAUGUGAAGCAGAAUACACUGCUAUAGUAUGCCCUUGUCAAGCAAUUUGGUUGAAGAAUAUUUUGAGCGAACUAACUCUUACACAGGAAGGUUCCAUUAUAAUUUAUGUUGACAACAAGUCUACAAUAUCUCUUGCAAAGAAUCUUGUGUCCCAUAGCCAAAGCAAGCUCAUUGAUACAAAGUAUCACUUUAUUUGAGAGUUGGUGAAGAAUAAAAACAUCAACCUAAUCUACUACAGAAUGAAAGACCAAUUGGUAAGCAUUUUACUAAGCAAUUGAAAGAGGGCGUAUUUAACAAACUUAAAAGAAAAACUUGGAAUAAAGAUCUCGGUUUAAGGAGAAGUGUUAGAAGUCAACUGAAUUCUCAAAGUCGGAAAAGCAUGAAGCUAAUAGUGGCUUUACAAAUUGGUUUAAAACGUGGCAUGAAAUUAGUGGCAAAACAGCAACAUGAAAGCUUGCUGAAAGUUUCUUAAAGAUUGAAAUUGUGUAAUGAUAAGGAUAAACAAAGCAUUAACAGUGGAGCUUAUUGGAUAAAAAUGGAUUUGCUCGAAGCUUUACAAGCUUAUUACAGCAGCCUUUAAGUCUAUUUAUGUUAUGUUAUAAAUAGCCCUUAUGUUAGUGUGUGUGCAUCACAAGUGAAAGAAAUAGAAAAAAAAACAAAAAACAAAAGGAAUAUUGUGUGUGCAGUAGAAAGUGGCGUGAGUAAGAGUAAAAAGAAACUAGCGGCAACUAGUAAUUGAGAAAUAUAUAUAUAUUUGUAAUAAUUUGCUAUUGUUUUAUAGAUAUUGUGUGAGUAAGAAAGUUGUUUCGAUUUUAAGGGUUAACUAUGCUUCCAACAUUUAUCAACUCUGCCCGUAUGCAUUGCACACUGUACUCAGCAUGGUUACUAGUCACUCUCGAUCAACAUUACUUAACAAUCCGCAGCUGUUAAGAGGAAUUACCCGUAUUUAGUAUCUUUCCACCUUCAACAUAAUAUAUUUCAAGGCUCUUUGAAUCAUAACCUAGAGACUUUUUUCGAAAAAGAAACUUCGAGAAUUUUCUUUACCUAAUAGAAUUUAAUAACACGUUAUCUACAUCCUCCUGAUCAAACUCAUUAACAAACCCAUUCACAUAACUGAAUUCUAGGGUUCCUAUAAAUUUCCCCCAUGGCAUGCAGUACCUUUAUUUAAAUUAUCCAAAUCCAGGUAAGCUUUUUUCUUUUGGUUUCUAUCCCCAUUGUGGCUUGUCUCCUUCCUCCAUUUCUAAGUUCUAUCCAUCAUCAACGUUGUUCUAAACUUUUUCAACCACUUAAAAAAAAUUAUAUAAAAAAUUAUUUUUUUCUUUUUUGGCUAUUUUUUUCUCAAUAAAAUAAUUUUUUAAUAAAAUGAAAAAGAGUCAUGACAAUGAUGUCAUGUUGAAAGCAAACCCCAAAAGUUUUCUUGGUUACCUUAUCUUGAAGGGGCUCUAAAAGAUAAAGGUUUUUAACUGUCUUUUUUUUUUAAGUUAUUCAAGAGUUUCAAUUUCUUUUGUAAAAUAAAAUUUUAUUUCUUGAAUUUUAUUUUAUUUCAGGGUUUUUAUUUUAUCUUCACCGAAUUCAUUUAUGAAUGUGAAGUUGGAUUAUUUAAUUUUUGGAUGUAAAGUAAGAUUUCUAAGUUGGUAUUAUCAAUAAAAAGAUAUUUUUAUGGAAGGAAGUAAGGAUAAUGUUAAGGAGAAAUUUCUUCAUGAAAAUUUUCUUCCUUUCAUUUUUCUAAGUAGAUUGAGAUAGAGUGGGAUGGAUUUGAGUGAAAAAGAAAGGUUGAUGUUUUUUAUAUAUAAUUUCUUCCCCUAUACAUUAUAGAUGCUACAUAAUCUAUUGCUAAUAACAUUAUAUUACAACAUUAUAGCAUUCAGCAAAAACUUAACUAAAGAUAUGAAGAUAUUUUUUCUCCAAGCCGUUUACUUUUUAUUUUUUGUUUUGUUCAACGGUGGUGUCAGCCUUCGGGCUGGCUAUUGCCUAUCUAUUUCUUCUCCCAUUAACCCUUUCUUUCUUCCUUCUUCUCAUCCACUAUACAUGUCUUCUCUCUCUUCAGUUUAUAGAUUUAUUUUGUGGGUAUCUUUAUUGUCUUCACAAGUUGUGAUGGACAGAUGACGGUGACUGUCGUUCAUUAAAACCCCACUAACCAUUAGUAAUUUUUAUUAGAAUGUGGGUGGCUCUUCGUCAACUUCUUAAUAUGUUUCUAUUUUGAGAGUAUUUUAAAUUAAUAAAUGACUUCACGUGUCAAUUUGGAUCCGUAUUAUCUUAAGUUUUAUAUUUUUUUGUUCGUUUUUUUUAUUGUUUAAUAAAUAUUCAGUUUUAGAAGUUUUUGUCUACUCUUGUAGCACAUUUUUUUAGUCUUGCUUAUGCAUGUAAUCUUAGUUUUACAAGUGAUUUUAAGGAUGAUUUUGUUGUCGUCCUCUCUAGUUUGAUGAAUGCUCGAUUCUUUUGUCGAUUUUUGCUCGAUGUUUUGGACCAUUCGACGCUGAUUUUCUUAUCGUAUUAAGUGUUUGCAAUCAUUCUAGAUAUAUUGUGCUUGAGUUGUGACAAAGUCAAUUCUCAACGUAUCAUAAUAUUCAAUUGAUGCUGAGGCUAAAACUUUCGUUGUGUUGAUGGAGCUUGUCAUUUACCAUCUAUGACGAGUAUUUGCUAUUUUUUCUCUGAAUUGCAUGGUUCCAUUUAUUGAAUAAAUUAAUAAAUUUACCUUUAAAAAGAAAAACUAAAGAUACGAUGAAAAAGGAACCAUGUGUACCAGGGAAAGUUAAAGCAGUACAUAUAAUUAAGGAACCACAUAAUUUAAUACUAGCCAAUUUGGUAGCACUUGGUCAUCAAAGACUAGAACAAUUUUUAUGAUUAAAAUAUUUAUUUAGUAAUUGAUUGAUAUAUCGUUUUAUUUAGAGAAUAUAUAUUUUAUUUUUUAAAACAAUAUAAUUUUAAUAUCUUUUUAAAUUACAAAAAAAAGCUCAAACUAAUAAUGAGAAUAAUGGUAAUUAAGUUUAAUUAUUACUAAUAAUGUGAAAUAGUAUGGUAAGAAGCACUUAAUCAAUAUAUUCAAAAUGUGUUGGAUUUGUGGGAUUCUUAUAAUUGAGAAAGAAAAGAAAAAGAAAGAAACAGAAUCAAAUGAAAAUAGAGAAAAUAAAGUUGAAUGUGUCAAAAACAAGUAGAAUGCUUUUUCUUUUCAACGUUAAUUUCAUGUGAAUUACUAUUCCUUCAACUUGGUUUGUCUUUUGCAAUCAUUACAAUAUUGAUAAUCAAGUUUAUUGUAAAUUAAUCAUUAAUCUUUAGUAUAAGAGCCUAGUUACUUCUACUCACCCUCCGUCAACUUUCCUCCAAAUAUAGCACUUCUUAAUGUUUGUUUUGAGAAACUACCUCUCUUCUUUUGUUCUCAGUUUGUUUAGAGGUGUGUUAAUUGGCCAGCCUUUUUGCGACAAAAAAGAAUCUUGAAAAUCUCCAAGUACCAAGUAAAUCCCAUCGAUUUCUUCAACUUAGCUACUAAGUUCCAAUGGUUAGAUUCGAUAAUGAGACAUCCUCCUCUUCCUCCUCCUCCUCAUCAUCAUUGGAAUCAUCUUCUUCAGUUUCUCGAGGGAAAUAUGAUGUUUUCUUGAGUUUCAGAGGUGAGGAUACCCGCAGGAAUUUCACGGAUCAUCUUUAUGCUGCAUUCAAAAGGAGAGGAAUCACCACUUUUAGGGAUGACGAAAAGCUCGAGACAGGUGAACCCAUAGCACCUGAGCUCUUCAAAGCAAUUCAUGAGUCAUGGUGCUCUGUAAUCGUUUUGUCGGAAGGGUAUUGUUUCUCGAGUUGGUGCCUACAAGAGCUUUCCGAGAUUAUUCAACAGAAAAACAACAAGGGACAUAAAGUCUUUCCUAUUUUCUAUUAUGUGGAUCCAUCUGAUUUGAGAAAACAAACCGGAAAAGUUCUAGAAGCUUUUCUUAAGCAUGAAAAUAAUUUCCAGGACAACAAAGAGAAGACACAAAGGUGGCGAUCUGCUUUAACUCAAGUAGCUAACAUCAAAGGAUGGCACUUGAGUAACAGGUAACUAUCAUAUUCUUUCACUUCAAUAAUAUCUUACCAGCAUCAAGUUGGAAAUUUGAGGCAUUAGCUAAGGAUUGUGCCCUUAAAGUUUAACUAAGCUAUUUCCUUUGCUUUGUAUUUGAAGGCAUGAAUCAGAACUUAUUGGAGAAAUCAUUGAAAAGGUAUCAACAAAAUUAUGUCAAACAUUUGCAAGUGCUCCUAAUGACAUGAUUGGAAUUGAAUCACGUUUGGAAGAGUUAAAUUGCAAAAUAGGCAUAGGGGAGGAAGAUGAUAGUGUUCGGAUUAUAGGGAUUUGUGGUAUGGGCGGGUUAGGUAAAACAACUCUUGCAAGAUUUGUUUAUACCCAAAUUUCAAGUCAUUUUGAAGGCCAAAGCUUUCUGGCCGAUGUUCGUGAAGUUGCGGAGAAACAUGGACUUGUUUAUUUGCAGAAACAACUUCUUUCCCAAAUUUUUCCAGAGGAAAGUUUCAAGUUUUUUAAUGUUCAUGAUGGGAAUGACAUCAUAAGUCGUAUGUUAUCUCAUAAAAAGAUUUUUGUUGUUAUUGAUGAUGUGGAUAACAUACAACACUUAAAAUGUUUGAUAGGCAGGCGAGCUUGGUUUGGUUUAGGAAGCAGGAUCAUCAUAACAACAAGAGACGAGCACCUGCUGCAAAUCUACGGAGUGGAUGAUGUGUAUAAUCCGACGAAACUGAAUGCCAAGGAAGCACUUCGCCUUUUCAGUUUGAAAGCUUUCAAAAGUGAAACACCUGCAAUGGAAUUUUUUGAGCUUUCUAAACGUGUAGUGGAAUAUGCCAAUGGCCUUCCGUUAGCUCUUGAAGUUUUUGGUUCUUUUCUGUCUGGCAGAUCAGAUGAAGCUCAAUGGAGAAGUGCUAUUGAAAGACUUAAAAAGGAGUCCAACAAAGAAAUUCUAGACAGGCUUCAAAUAAGCUUUGAUGGGUUAGAAAAAUCGGAGAAAGAUAUAUUUUUGGAUAUUGCAUGCUUCUUCAAAGGAGAAGACAAAGAUAUGGUAACCAAAAUUCUCGAUGGUUGUGGCUUUUUCCCGGAUAUUGGAAUAGAUGUUCUCAUCAAGAAAUCUCUUGUAACAAUUGAUGAAGACAACAAAUUGUCGAUGCAUGACUUGUUACAAGAGAUGGGAAGGAAAAUUGUUUACCAAGAAUCUCCUAAUGAACCUGGAAAACGUAGUAGAUUGUGGGACGAAAAGGAUACUAAUUAUGUGCUAAUAGGAAACACUGUAAGUCUUUAGCACUAUUAACUGUUACUCCACCCUUGAAGAUUUGUUGAUUCAUACGAUACUAGGAUGCAAGUCUAGCUUUGAACUAUUUUUGGACGUGCAUUGCACUGUUAAGUCAUUAAAUUUACCAUAUUAAUUAGUUGAUUGCUCUGAUUUUCAGGCAACGGAAGUUGUUCAAGGUCUAGUCAUCGAUUCUAUCAGGUGUAAAUUCAUACACCUAUCUGUGUAUAUGUUGUUGAUUACUCUAUAUAUUGUAAAGCUCAUUCCUCUUUUUCCUUUGGUGGUUAUCAGGAAACAGAACACUUGGACUUUGAGUGCUGAUGCCUUUUUGACAAUGAACAGGCUAAGACUGCUCAGAGUCUUCAAUGUUCCAAAUUCUCGUGAUUUCAAAUAUCUUAGUAACGAGUUAAGGCUUUUAGAAUGGCAUGGAUAUCCUUUCAAAUCCUUCCCUUCAAGCUUCCAACCAGAGAACCUUGUUGCACUUCUUCUCCCUUAUAGCCGCAUUGAAAAGUUGUGGAAGCCAAACAUGGUAAGAGUUACUUUGUUUGAUCAAUUAAUUUUGACCAAGAUAACAUAAACACAAAAUACCAAAAAUAAAAUGGCAUUUCAUCUUUGGUUUUCUUUUUCAUUGUUUCCUUUUACAGCCUUUAUUUAAGUUAAAAUUGGUCGACCUCAAAGGUUGUAAAAACCUUGUGAAAACACCAGACUUCAGUAUGGCCCCAAAUCUUGAAAGUUUGAUUCUGGAAGGUACUGCAAUAGUAGAUAUUGAUCCUACCGUCAAGUUUCUAAGGAGGCUGAAGCUUUUGAAUUUAAGAAACUGCAAGAGACUUAGGAUUUUCCCAUCCAAAAUUGGGAAUGGAUCUCUACAAACAUUAAUUCUUUCAGGUUGCUCAAAUAUAGACAGGAUUCCAGAGAUUGUGGGGGAAAUGGAAUGUCUGAAAGAGCUUUGUUUGGAUGGGACUGGUAUUAAAGAACUUCCCUCUACAAUUGGACAUCUCAGGAGUCUUAUGUUGCUAAAUUUGAAAGAUUGCAGUAAGCUUGAGAGUCUCCCAAGCAGCAUAGGUGGGUGUGAAUUCCUUAAAACUCUUAUUCUCUCUGGCUGCUCUAAACUUAAAAAUUUUCCUGAGAGUUUGCGACAACUAGAAUCUUUGGAGGAGCUUAACCUGAGUGAGACUGCCAUAACGACACCACCAUCCUUCAUCUUUCAUUUGAAAAAUCUCAAGUUUCUUUCUUUCCAAGGAUGCAAGGGAC